rnacentral:rRNA from 1 species
GUGGGGAAUAUUGCACAAUGGGCGAAAGCCUGAUGCAGCGACGCCGCGUGGGGGAUGAAGGCCUUCGGGUUGUAAACUCCUUUCGCUAGGGACGAAGAGUUACAUUGACGGUACCUGGAGAAGAAGCACCGGCUAACUACGUGCCAGCAGCCGCGGUAAUACGUAGGGUGCGAGCGUUGUCCGGAAUUACUGGGCGUAAAGAGCUCGUAGGUGGUUUGUCGCGUCGUCUGUGAAAUCCCGGGGCUUAACUCCGGGCGUGCAGGCGAUACGGGCAUAACUUGAGUGCUGUAGGGGAGACUGGAAUUCCUGGUGUAGCGGUGAAAUGCGCAGAUAUCAGGAGGAACACCAAUGGCGAAGGCAGGUCUCUGGGCAGUAACUGACGCUGAGGAGCGAAAGCAUGGGUAGCGAACAGGAUUAGAAACCCUUGUAGUCC